rnacentral:rRNA from 1 species
UACGUAGGGUGCAAGCGUUAAUCGGAAUUACUGGGCGUAAAGCGUGCGCAGGCGGUUGUGCAAGACAGAUGUGAAAUCCCCGGGCUCAACCUGGGAACUGCAUUUGUGACUGCACGGCUAGAGUGUGUCAGAGGGGGGUAGAAUUCCACGUGUAGCAGUGAAAUGCGUAGAUAUGUGGAGGAAUACCGAUGGCGAAGGCAGCCCCCUGGGAUAACACCGACGCUCAUGCACGAAAGCGUGGGGAGCAAACAGG